rnacentral:rRNA from 1 species
UACGUAGGGUGCGAGCGUUAAUCGGAAUUACUGGGCGUAAAGCGUGCGCAGGCGGUUCGUUGUGUCCGUCGUGAAAGCCCCGGGCUUAACCUGGGAACUGCGAUGGAAACUAGCGAGCUGGAGUGUGGCAGAGGGGGGUGGAAUUCCGCGUGUAGCAGUGAAAUGCGUAGAUAUCUGGAGGAACACCGGUGGCGAAGGCGGCAUCCUGGACCGGUAUUGACGCUGAGGCGCGAAAGCUAGGGGAGCAAACGGG